CGGAUAACUGGUGUAUACUUAUUCCUUAUGUAUCUAAUGAUUUGCACAAAAUGCAGGUUGGAGGAAGUUCCAUAUAUUUACUACCAACUUUAAGGGGACCAAAGUAAAUGGUCAUUUCCAAGGAUUAGUGUCAGUGAUGAAAGGACAUUCCGAUCUUAAUAUAUGUCCCGGUCGAAUGAAGUCAGAACUCUACUGAUAGCCAAGGAGUUACCUUGUCGCUAUUUCUCAACAGUAUUCCUGAGACAAUUUCCACCAGAGAUUGGUUUCGCCUUUUUGUAUUACUGGACUUGAUAUCAUCAAUAAUUGUGUUAUUAUGUAAAAAUUAUAAACACUAUUCUGAUGUUCUGUAUUGUGUUACAGAACUCAUUUGGUGCCGUAACCAAGGAUAAGCUAGUCAGACGAACGGGAACACUAAAGUCGCCGAGGAACAGUUCUCUACGUACUCUCUCUCUGUUAACAAUUCAUGGAAAAGAUAAGUCAUUUAGGAGAUGCAUGAGUCAUGAACCACAUCCGCAGUGUCUAUUUCAAUAAGACUGUUGUACUGCCUCAAGCGAUCGAGCUAGGUCACCUUACGAUGGAUUGGUCUUGCAUGGUCCAAGCGCAUACCGGUCUUGUUGGCAAUGAGAAAUGACAAAGACAAAGUGCCGUGAGGAGCGGUAUGUACAGCUGAGUGACUUAGUGCAGCGAGGUGGUAUUCUUCGGUGCAGCUGCACCCGACUAGAACUUUAGCAUAAUGGACAGACCGAUCGUCAUUGUACUCUGGAUUAGUGUAGGCUUAACCAGACGGUUCCGAUACCUUACUGAUCGCAAGAAGAGGUCAUAGAUGAAAUGGCAUAUCGAUAGGCAUCCUGGGGUGGACGCAUCCACUGUUAACUGGCCGAGACUGACCGGGAACCAUCACUAGCAUUUUCUAUGUCAUCGUAAUGACAACCGUUAACAGCUUUUAGAAGAAAUUUUAGAUGAGCGGUUCAACAAUUAAUUCCCAGCAGGCAUACAACGUUGUACCAACGUUGAAAGUACGUUGAUUAUGGUUGACGACAUUGAACAACCAGAAACAACGUUACAGGACGUUGAAAAAAAGACGUUGAAAACCAAACCAAUUUUCAACGGUAGUAUGACGUCUUGUACUCUGAGAUAUAUCGACUAAGACAUAACAUAAAAAAAUUAUCUGAUUGUAUUGUUUUGUAAUAAAUAUAUGCAUUUUCCCAGAUCAAGACUGAACAAUAAUAGGCCUUUGUACUUCCAAUUCUUUAAAGUGGGUCGCGGGUUUACCCUAUAAAAAAUCUUACGAGAAAACAUACCCUGAAAAUUUAAAUCGUUAUUUAGGAUACACAGUUCAUUAUAUAAAUUUUUUAUCGAAUUUGCCCACGCUAUUUGUAUGCAAUACCGCUCUAAACUUAGUAUUGUCUGUAGUGCUGUUUUGACGCUUUUCUAAUGAAAUAUAUAGGAAAAUGAGCAUAUUUCUCUUUAUAUUCGAGAUGGAGUUUUUUUUUAAAACUGCAAAUAGCUUCUUAACAAUUUAGACGAAUUUAUCAACGGUGUCUAUGUGUAAAGAAAACGUGAUUUACAAAUUAUUUAUGUAAAAAAAAUUAUAUGUGUUCUCGCUAGAUUUUUUGCUAUUUUAUUUUAUGUUUCUGAUUAUUCUACCAAAAAUUGUCGCAUUUCGGUAUUUGACGUCAUGAUUACGACGUCAAAAAUGUUAAACCUGUUCCACUUACUAAGUGAUGCAAUUAUUUAAAAACUAAACCCAGGACUGCUAACGAUUUGACAGAUUUAAGGUUCUAAGGAUGAUGCAGAUUCUUUUUACAUAAAUAUUGUCCACAAAAUUACAGAAAAGAGACAAUAUUUUACGUACAGCCAUACAUAGCCAUGUUCGUACACAUAACUCUGUAACAGUAAAAGUGACAAUUUUCCUAGUGAUUAGACCACCUACCAUAAUAAACUUGCUAAAGCAUAUAUCUUUCUUUAAAAAAUGGACUUUUUGAGAAUAUGACAGAGCUCGAGAUUAAACAUAUUUUUAUCAAGAAUCCAAAACUAUUAGGGGGGCAGCCUCUCGUGUACACUGUACCUCCGGUAUACAGGAAGAACCCCCGGUCUUAUGUACAGGAAGAGAUCUGUUCUGUUGAUAUUAAAAAAUUAUUAACCAGAAUCUCUCUCUCUCUCUCUCUCUCUCUCUCUCUCUCUCUCUCUCUCUCUCUCUCUCUCUCAUGUGUUAAAAGUUAUAGACUACACCGCUGGUUUUUAUUUACAGUUUGAACUUUUACAUAGACUGAAAAAGAACGCUCCAAUUCUUGCUGAUUAUCUGCAUAAUUAUAAUGUGUUGCAUUCAAUGUGCACUUCCUUUUUUGAUUCGCGGAGAAUAAAUAUGAAUGAUUACUACUGUCUAGUAUGAACGGCAUAUAUAUAAAUGAUAACUUCAUUAUCACCCCGAGCAAUUGGUUUUAGAGCGUAAUGCGGGAAACUUGAGAUGUAUCGUUUAUGACGUCAUAAACGAAUGUGCACAAAACGGCCAAACAAGUUGUCUAAAUUGCGUACAGAAUUUGAUGACGAAAGCAAACCCGCGACCCACCUUAAAACAAUGCCAUUUUUAUAACAUACAUAAAGAUAUAUAAACCAAUAGACCUAGAGUAAAUUUACAAAUAUAAAAUGCAUACUAAACCAGUAAAUUCAGGGUGCGUUAGCCAUUAGUGUAUUACCUCGCCCCAAUCUGAACUGUUUGAAACGAGCUGACCAAUUAGUAUCAAAUUACUGGUGCAAACUCAAACAAAGAGAUAGAGUCCAGCUGUGGGGAAGGAGAGCGCAUUUUGAAUUUGAAAGUGUGAAGCAACACAUCGGCCAUUGAGGCAAAAUGAUUUGGAUUUUAUCAUCGCAAAAGUGAAGUAAGUUGUCAUUUCUUGAACUUUUUAAUAACAUUGAUUCAUGUAAAAAAAAAUGUGAAGGAAACUCAUGCAUUAUUGAAUUAUUGAAAUUGAUCACAUGUAUGUAUAUGUGUUUCUUGCAUACUUGCUUGGUUGUAAUAUAAUGUUUUGAUUUUAAUAUAAAACACCCGACAUUUGGACUGAUGAAAGGAGUUAACAUUAACUGAUUGAGUGCACACAUGUUGUUCGACAUCGUGUACAUGUAUCGAAGCAAAAUUGGGAGUCCCAUUAUUAUAUCUCAGGAAACUCGAUUGAAGAGACGGAAGGAAGAACAAUGAAUUAUUGUUUAGAAGAAAUGACGACUCUGUGAUUCGAACAAACUAUUGAUAUGUGUAUCAUCUGUUUUAUGGUGGUGAACGUGUUGCUCCUUAUUGACUAAUAAGGAACUAUU